CACUAUCAGCUGGCUGCAUUAACUGCCAAGUAGGUCCUCUAACAUCACACACUAUCAGCUGGCUGCAUUAACUGCCAAGUAGGUCCUCUAACAUCACACACUAUCAGCUGGCUGCAUUAACUGCCAAGUAGGUCCUCUAACAUGCCACACUAUCAGCUGGCUGCAUUAACUGCCAAGUAGGUCCUCUAACAUCACACACUAUCAGCUGGCUGCAUUAACUGCCAAGUAGGUCCUCUAACAUGCCACACUAUCAGCUGGCUGCAUUAACUGCCAAGUAGGUCCUUUAACAUCACACACUAUCAGCUGGCUGCAUUAACUGCCAAGUAGGUCCUCUAACGUCACACUAUCAACUGGCUGCAUUAACUGCCAAGUAGGUCCUCUAACAUCACACACUACACAUACUAUCAGCUAGCUGCAUAAACUGUUUUCUGUGGCAUUUGUCGCUUCUUAACUAGGUUUGAACAAAGUUUAAAAUCAUUGUUAUUAGACAAAUGGCCAACAAGCAAGUGACUGUAAACAUGUGGUUUCGGGUAAAUAACUUUAGUUUACAUUAACUGCUCUUGAUGAAACUUUGGAGAUAGCUAUCUUGAAUGAUGACCAAGCUUUUGAUUGUAUUUGAAGCUGGUUGGGUCAACCACACUGUUUUUAUAAAUAGAAAGUGGUUUCAAUAAAUGUUAAGAGUUUUGAUGCAGGAAUUGCACUAAAAUUGGGUGUGUAUGUAGCUUAUACGAGCCGUACUCUGUGAAAAGGGGAUUUAAUGCAUGUGCGUAAAGUGUUGUUCCAGAUAAGCCUGUGCAUGGCCCAUAUGCUUUCCAAGCUUGAAUUGCAUUUGUGGCAGUUGGCAGAAAGUCAAGGUCACUGACAAUAGAAAAAAACCAAACAUGUGGUUUCCAGUAAAAAUAUCCUAAGGGUUUAAUGACUAAUCUUUAUGAAAGUUAUUGGAUAUCUAUCUAUAUAUAUAGCCAACUUGCAUUGAGACAUAGUAUGGGAUUAUAUUUGGGCUAGCUCAGUAAAGGUCAAAGUCACUGUAACUUAAAUAUGAAAUGCAUGUACAGGUUUUGCUUAAUAACAUAUUUAAUAACUGAAAUAGUGUGCAGGUAUCUUAGAUGCAGUUGCUGAACAAUGCAUUUGGGGCAAGUCAGUUUAAAGUCUUUUUCUUAAAUAUAUAAAAGGUUCCACUCAAUAACUUCAGUUGGGAUGGAAGUAUUGGGGUGAAUCAUAUUGUAAAGUUAGUUUUAUUGCAGCAUAAUCUUACACUUUCCAACGUACAACAUUCACACUUACAGGCAUUCAACCUUAAUUGAUUUAGAUACUCAAUGUGAAAUUUGCAUUGUCCUAUUCUAAAAAAAAAAUGCAACUUUUUCAACUUAAAAUUAUUAAUGUUACUUUAGAAUGUUACUGUUACAACUGACAGGUCAAAGGUUAGGUGUUGGGACUGUGAUACAUAGAGAAAGCUAUUCUAAACUUCUGUACCCUAUUGUUGAUA